rnacentral:rRNA from 1 species
AACGAACGCUGGCGGCAUGCCUAACACAUGCAAGUCGAACGAAGGCUUCGGCCUUAGUGGCGCACGGGUGCGUAACGCGUGGGAAUCUGCCCUUGGGUCUGGGAUAACGGCGGGAAACUGCCGCUAAUACCGGAUGAUAUCGCGAGAUCAAAGAUUUGUCGCCUGAGGAUGAGCCCGCGUAGGAUUAGGUUGUUGGUGUGGUAAAGGCGCACCAAGCCGAUGAUCCUUAGCUGGUCUGAGAGGAUGAUCGGCCACACUGGGACUGAGAUACGGCCCAGACUGCUACGGGAGGCAGCAGUGGGGAAUAUUGCAAAAUGGGCGGACGCCUGAUGCAGAAACGCCGCGUGAGGGAUGACGGCCUUCGGGUUGUAAACAGCUUUCGCCUGUGACGAAGCGUGAGUGACGGUAAUGGGUAAAGAAGCACCGGCUAACUACGUG